UACGUAGGGGGCUAGCGUUGUCCGGAAUCAUUGGGCGUAAAGAGCGUGUAGGCGGCCCGGUAAGUCCGCUGUAAAAGUCAAAGGCUCAACCUUUGAAUGUCAGUGGAUACUGUCGGGCUAGAGUCCGGAAGAGGAGAGUGGAAUUCCUGGUGUAGCGGUGAAAUGCGCAGAUAUCAGGAAGAACACCCGUGGCGAAGGCGGCUCUCUGGGACGGUACUGACGCUGAGACGCGAAAGCGUGGGGAGCGAACAGG
rnacentral:rRNA from 1 species